CUCUAAUUUUAUAAAUAUAAAAUUUACAGUUUUAUCUUUAUUAGAAA
rnacentral:tRNA from 1 species